CAUCGGUAGGUUGUGAGGACAAAAAGAUUGACAAUAUUUAUUAAUACACCUGUUGCUUCCUUUGAAAGUAAGCAUCUCUAAGCUGAGUAAUAAUGAUGAGGGGAGAGUCUUGCUAUUUGGAAGAAAGAUCCCAGAAGAGGAUCAUCUCUCACACUGGACUGGCCACCAUCCCCAUGGACAGAACUCAGGGAACCAGAAAGGACAAAAGUAACCGGGCUCGUGAAGCGUCUUGGGGAACCCGGGGUGGAGGUGACCUGUGGCCGGCCCCAGGCAAGUGGGGACCCUCCAAAGCAGGUCAGGGAAAGGGCCACAAGUCUGCCGGCACGCUUUUCAUCGCUUCGAGUUAGCAGCAAAACCAAGAGCACACUUUGACUCUCCAAUACCUUGAGUUACACAAGCCCAAAGAUGGACAGGAUUGAAAUCUCCCCUUAUUUAUCGCACCCCUGCCCUCUCAUUUCUCCCCCACUUUCAUCACCCAGGCC
rnacentral:lncRNA from 1 species